rnacentral:tRNA from 1 species
GAGGGGAUAGCUCAGUGGUAGAGUGCAUGCUUAGCAUGCAUGAGGUCCUGGGUUCAAUUCCCAGUACCUCCA